AGAUAUUAAAAAACGAAGAAAUACUGCUUACUACACAGUUGGACUCUCUUAAAAGACUUAUAAAAGAUGAAAUUUAGAAUCAAGUUCAAAACAAAAAACUCUUUGGAAUUUUGAUUGUGAUUUUGAAAAACAGGAUGAAGUUGUCUAUUACGAUCCAUGUGAAAGUCCAGAGGAACUUAGUCAGACGAUAAGAAUUCGGAAGUGAAAGAACUCAGAAGGCAGUGCCAGCAGCUGGAGUCUGUUAAACGGGGCAGUCUGUGUCAAAAGAGCUUCUCUCCAGAGUAGAAAGAUUUAUUUUCUUUUUGAAUAUAUUUUCUACACCAUGGUUUCUCAACCAGAGGUGAUACAGCACUGUCUCCAAAUGUGGGGCUGUUGUGUAUUGUCACGGGGAGGAGAAAUGCUACUGGCAUUUAGUGGAUGAUGGUCAAGGACACUAAGC
rnacentral:lncRNA from 1 species